rnacentral:lncRNA from 1 species
UUUCGAUUUACAACGAAAUUACGUCGAAACAUCGGUUUACGACGAAUUUACAAGGCCCACGUUUACGACGAAGUUACCAGGCCCGCGUUUUUCCAUUUACGAUGAAAUUACGGGGAAACAUCGGUUUACGACGAUUUUAUAACGCUUAACCCUAAACACCGAGAAUGAAAUCCCUAAACCCCAAAGUCACAUAUCAUCUAACAUCAUAUCUCUUCUUCUCUACUACUUUAUGCUCUUUCUCCAACUUAAACUCUAAAAC